GGGCGGGUAGCGUAGUGGCCAGCGUGUUCCUGAGCGUAUUCAGCGUUGAUUUCCUUCCAUCCAGCGUUCAGCGAGAGGCCUGGGUUCGAGUCCCAGCCUGCCCA